rnacentral:rRNA from 1 species
AGAGUUUGAUCCUGGCUCAGGAUGAACGCUAGCGGCAGGCUUAACACAUGCAAGUCGAACGGUAACAUUAGUGCUUGCACUAGAUGACGAGUGGCGCACGGGUGCGUAACGCGUAUGCAACCUACCUCUAACAAAGGGAUAGCCCAGAGAAAUUUGGAUUAAUACCUUAUAAUAUUUUCAAUCGGCAUUGAUUGAAUCUUAAAGAUUUAUCGGUUAGAGAUGGGCAUGCGUGACAUUAGCUAGAUGGUGAGGUAACGGCUCACCAUGGCGACGAUGUCUAGGGGUUCUGAGAGGAAGAUCCCCCACACUGGUACUGAGACACGGACCAGACUCCUACGGGAGGCAGCAGUGAGGAAUAUUGGUCAAUGGACGCAAGUCUGAACCAGCCAUGCCGCGUGAAGGAUGACUGCCCUAUGGGUUGUAAACUUCUUUUAUAGAGGAAGAAACUUAUCUACGUGUAGAUAACUGACGGUACUCUACGAAUAAGGACCGGCUAACUCCGUGCCAGCAGCCGCGGUAAUACGGAGGGUCCAAGCGUUAUCCGGAUUUAUUGGGUUUAAAGGGUCCGUAGGCGGGGUUUUAAGUCAGUGGUGAAAUCCUACAGCUCAACUGUAGAACUGCCAUUGAAACUGAAACUCUUGAAUGUGCUUGAAGUAGGCGGAAUAUGUCAUGUAGCGGUGAAAUGCUUAGAUAUGACAUAGAACACCGAUAGCGAAGGCAGCUUACUAAGUCAUAAUUGACGCUGAUGGACGAAAGCGUGGGGAGCGAACAGGAUUAGAUACCCUGGUAGUCCACGCCGUAAACGAUGAUUACUAGCUAUUGGCGAUAUACAGUCAGUGGCAAAGCGAAAGUGUUAAGUAAUCCACCUGGGGAGUACGAUCGCAAGGUUGAAACUCAAAGGAAUUGACGGGGGCCCGCACAAGCGGUGGAGCAUGUGGUUUAAUUCGAUGAUACGCGAGGAACCUUACCAGGGCUUAAAUGUAUAUUGACAGGGUAGGAAACUACUUUUUCUUCGGACAAUUUACAAGGUGCUGCAUGGCUGUCGUCAGCUCGUGCCGUGAGGUGUUGGGUUAAGUCCCGUAACGAGCGCAACCCCUAUCUUUAGUUACCAGCGAGUUAUGUCGGGGACUCUAGAGAAACUGCCUGCGCAAGCAGCGAGGAAGGUGGGGACGAUGUCAAGUCAUCACGGCCCUUACGCCCUGGGCCACACACGUGCUACAAUGGUGAGUACAGAGGGCAGCUACCUGGUGACAGGAUGCGAAUCUCUAAAACUUAUCUCAGUUCGGAUUGGAGUCUGCAACUCGACUCUAUGAAGCUGGAAUCGCUAGUAAUCGCGUAUCAGCCAUGACGCGGUGAAUACGUUCCCGGGCCUUGUACACACCGCCCGUCAAACAAUGGAAGCUGGGAGUGCCUGAAGUCGGUAACCGCAAGGAGCCGCCUAGGGUAAAACUGGUAACUGGUGUUAAGUCGUAACAAGGUAGCCGUACCGGAAGGUGCGGCUG